AGUGAACGCUGGCGGUAGGCCUAACACAUGCAAGUCGAACGGCAGCACAGUAAGAGCUUGCUCUUACGGGUGGCGAGUGGCGGACGGGUGAGGAAUACAUCGGAAUCUACUUUUUCGUGGGGGAUAACGUAGGUAAACUUACGCUAAUACCGCAUACGACCUACGGGUGAAAGCAGUGGAUCUUCGGACCUUGCGCGAUUGAAUUAGCCGAUGUCGGAUUAGCUAGUUGGCGGGGUAAAGGCCCACCAAGGCGACGAUCCGUAGCUGGUCUGAGAGGAUGAUCAGCCACACUGGAACUGAGACACGGUCCAGACUCCUACGGGAGGCAGCAGUGGGGAAUAUUGGACAAUGGGCGCAAGCCUGAUCCAGCCAUACCGCGUGGGUGAAGAAGGCCUUCGGGUUGUAAAGCCCUUUUGUUGGGAAAGAAAAGCAGCAGGUUAAUACCCCGCUGUUCUGACGGUACCCAAAGAAUAAGCACCGGCUAACUUCGUG
rnacentral:rRNA from 1 species